rnacentral:rRNA from 1 species
GUACGUACAAGCAGUGGGAGCACCCUUUUGGGUGUGACUGCGUACCUUUUGUAUAAUGGGUCAGCGACUUAUAUUCUGUAGCAAGGUUAACCGAAUAGGGGAGCCGGAGGGAAACCGAGUCUUAAUUGGGCGUUAAGUUGCAGGGUAUAGACCCGAAACCCGGUGAUCUAGCCAUGGGCAGGUUGAAGGUUGGGUAACACUAACUGGAGGACCGAACCGACUAAUGUUGAAAAAUUAGCGGAUGACCUGUGGCUGGGGGUGAAAGGCCAAUCAAACCGGGAGAUAGCUGGUUCUCCCCGAAAGCUAUUUAGGUAGCGCCUCGUGAAUUCAUCUCCGGGGGUAGAGCACUGUUUCGGCUAGGGGGCCAUCCCGGCUUACCAACCCGAUGCAAACUGCGAAUACCGGAGAAUGUUAUCACGGGAGACACACGGCGGGUGCUAACGUCCGUCGUGAAGAGGGAAACAACCCAGACCGCCAGCUAAGGUCCCAAAGUCAUGGUUAAGUGGGAAACGAUGUGGGAAGGCCCAGACAGCCAGGAUGUUGGCUUAGAAGCAGCCAUCAUUUAAAGAAAGCGUAAUAGCUCACUGGUCGAGUCGGCCUGCGCGGAAGAUGUAACGGGGCUAAACCAUGCACCGAAGCUGCGGCAGCGACACUGAUGUGUUGUUGGGUAGGGGAGCGUUCUGUAAGCCUGUGAAGGUGGCCUGUGAGGGUUGCUGGAGGUAUCAGAAGUGCGAAUGCUGACAUAAGUAACGAUAAAGCGGGUGAAAAGCCCGCUCGCCGGAAGACCAAGGGUUCCUGUCCAACGUUAAUCGGGGCAGGGUGAGUCGACCCCUAAGGCGAGGCCGAAAGGCGUAGUCGAUGGGAAACGGGUUAAUAUUCCCGUACUUGGUGUUACUGCGAAGGGGGGACGGAGAAGGCUAUGUUGGCCGGGCGACGGUUGUCCCGGUUUAAGCGUGUAGGUGUGUGUUCCAGGUAAAUCCGGUUCACUUUAACACUGAGGCGUGACGACGAGGCACUACGGUGCUGAAGCAACAAAUGCCCUGCUUCCAGGAAAAGCCUCUAAGCAUCAGGUAACAUCAAAUCGUACCCCAAACCGACACAGGUGGUCAGGUAGAGAAUACCAAGGCGCUUGAGAGAACUCGGGUGAAGGAACUAGGCAAAAUGGUGCCGUAACUUCGGGAGAAGGCACGCUGACACGUAGGUGAAGUGAUUUACUCAUGGAGCUGAAGUCAGUCGAAGAUACCAGCUGGCUGCAACUGUUUAUUAAAAACACAGCACUGUGCAAACACGAAAGUGGACGUAUACGGUGUGACGCCUGCCCGGUGCCGGAAGGUUAAUUGAUGGGGUCAGCGCAAGCGAAGCUCCUGAUCGAAGCCCCGGUAAACGGCGGCCGUAACUAUAACGGUCCUAAGGUAGCGAAAUUCCUUGUCGGGUAAGUUCCGACCUGCACGAAUGGCGUAAUGAUGGCCAGGCUGUCUCCACCCGAGACUCAGUGAAAUUGAACUCGCUGUGAAGAUGCAGUGUACCCGCGGCAAGACGGAAAGACCCCGUGAACCUUUACUAUAGCUUGACACUGAACAUUGAGCCUUGAUGUGUAGGAUAGGUGGGAGGCUUUGAAGUGUGGACGCCAGUCUGCAUGGAGCCGACCUUGAAAUACCACCCUUUAAUGUUUGAUGUUCUAACGUGGACCCGUUACCCGGGUUGCGGACAGUGUCUGGUGGGUAGUUUGACUGGGGCGGUCUCCUCCUAAAGAGUAACGGAGGAGCACGAAGGUUGGCUAAUCCUGGUCGGACAUCAGGAGGUUAGUGCAAUGGCAUAAGCCAGCUUGACUGCGAGCGUGACGGCGCGAGCAGGUGCGAAAGCAGGUCAUAGUGAUCCGGUGGUUCUGAAUGGAAGGGCCAUCGCUCAACGGAUAAAAGGUACUCCGGGGAUAACAGGCUGAUACCGCCCAAGAGUUCAUAUCGACGGCGGUGUUUGGCACCUCGAUGUCGGCUCAUCACAUCCUGGGGCUGAAGUAGGUCCCAAGGGUAUGGCUGUUCGCCAUUUAAAGUGGUACGCGAGCUGGGUUUAGAACGUCGUGAGACAGUUCGGUCCCUAUCUGCCGUGGGCGCUGGAGAACUGAGGGGGGCUGCUCCUAGUACGAGAGGACCGGAGUGGACGCAUCACUGGUGUUCGGGUUGUCAUGCCAAUGGCACUGCCCGGUAGCUAAAUGCGGAAGAGAUAAGUGCUGAAAGCAUCUAAGCACGAAACUUGCCCCGAGAUGAGUUCUCCCUGAGACUUUAGGUCUCCUGAAGGAACGUUGAAGACGACGACGUUGAUAGGCCGGGUGUGUAAGCGCAGCGAUGCGUUGAGCUAACCGGUACUAAUGAACCGUGAGGCUUAACC